rnacentral:rRNA from 1 species
UGGGGAAUAUUGGACAAUGGGCGAAAGCCUGAUCCAGCCAUGCCGCGUGUGUGAAGAAGGUCUUCGGAUUGUAAAGCACUUUAAGUUGGGAGGAAGGGCAGUAAGCGAAUACCUUGCUGUUUUUACGUUACCGACAGAAUAAGCACCGGCUCACUCUGUGCCAGCAGCCGCGGGAAUACAGAGGGUGCAAGCGUUAAUCGGAAUUACUGGGCGUAAAGCGCGCGUAGGUGGUUCGUUAAGUUGAAUGUGAAAGCCCCGGGCUCAACCUGGGAGCUGCAUCCAAAACUGGCGGGCUAGAGUGUGGCAGAGGGUGGUGGAAUUUCCUGUGUAGAGGUGAAAUGCGUAGAGAUAGGAAGGAACACCAGUGGCGAAAGCGACCACCUGGGCUCAUACUGACACUGAGGUGCGAAAGCGUGGGGAGCAAACAGG